rnacentral:piRNA from 1 species
UCAUCUCCCAGCUACACAGAUGUUGCCUA